AACCAGAAAAGCCCCGGCUAACGUACGGGCCAGCAGCCGCGGUAAUACGUAGGUGGCAAGCGUUAUCCGGAUUUAUUGGGCGUAAAGCGAGCGCAGGCGGUUUUUUAAGUCUGAUGUGAAAGCCCUCGGCUUAACCGAGGAAGCGCAUCGGAAACUGGAAAACUUGAGUGCAGAAGAGGACAGUGGAACUCCAUGUGUAGCGGUGAAAUGCGUAGAUAUAUGGAAGAACACCAGUGGCGAAGGCGGCUGUCUGGUCUGUAACUGACGCUGAGGCUCGAAAGCAUGGGUAGCGAACAGGAUUAGAUACCCUGGUAGUCCAUGCCGUAAACGAUGAAUGCUAGGUGUUGGAGGGUUUCCGCCCUUCAGUGCCGCAGCUAACGCAUUAAGCAUUCCGCCUGGGGAGUACGACCGCAAGGUUGAAACUCAAAGGAAUUGACGGGGGCCCGCACAAGCGGUGGAGCAUGUGGUUUAAUUCGAAGCAACGCGAAGAACCUUACCAGGUCUUGACAUCUUUUGAUCACCUGAGAGAUCAGGUUUCCCCUUCGGGGGCAAAAUGACAGGUGGUGCAUGGUUGUCGUCAGCUCGUGUCGUGAGAUGUUGGGUUAAGUCCCGCAACGAGCGCAACCCUUAUGACUAGUUGCCAGCAUUUAGUUGGGCACUCUAGUAAGACUGCCGGUGACAAACCGGAGGAAGGUGGGGAUGACGUCAAAUCAUCAUGCCCCUUAUGACCUGGGCUACACACGUGCUACAAUGGAUGGUACAACGAGUUGCGAGACCGCGAGGUCAAGCUAAUCUCUUAAAGCCAUUCUCAGUUCGGACUGUAGGCUGCAACUCGCCUACACGAAGUCGGAAUCGCUAGUAAUCGCGGAUCAGCACGCCGCGGUGAAUACGUUCCCGGGCCUUGUACACACCGCCCGUCACACCAUGAGAGUUUGUAACACCCGAAGCCGGUGGCGUAACCCUUUUAGGGAGCGAACCGUCUAAGGUGACACAGAUUGGU
rnacentral:rRNA from 1 species